AUUUUUCACGCUCAUGCUAUUUUACAUUAUAUCAUACAUCAUCAAAGGAUGUUAAAUUAGCUUGUCAAUUUAACACAUUACCAGUACCAGUUUAUGAUCUUUUUGCCAAGAAUUUAACCUGGUGGGCACCCACAUACACAGGGGACUAUAUGUUUUCCCAAAGAUAACACACACAGGUAGCCACACAUAUCCUAAAAGGAGAACUCCUUAAGGUGAGUUCACAAAUUCAGAAUGAUUUAGCCCAUCAUUGGUACAAUGCUUUACUGGUUGGUCCCCUACUGGAUCCCAGAUAAUGAAAUCAUUCUUCUAUCAUUUUGUUAUUAUAGUCCUGAUUUUAUUGUGUAUGAUUUUAUAUAACUGUCACCUUACUUGUACAUUGAGGAAGUGAGUACAGAAAUUAAUCCAUAAUGCAGAACAGAAACAAUUAGAAAUUCUCCUCUCUGCCACUGGAGGGUAUCAACCCAUCUUUAAACUGGGCCUUAGGAAUUACCACAUGGGAAUCGAGGUGAAGAAAUUAAUGAAAGUCCCGCAGGGAGUGACUAGCACCCCUGAAAAUACCAUGUGGAAGUUUCUCUGUCCUGGUAAGAUUUUAUCGAUAAGAUGAGCAAUUUUUUUAUUGCUCAAAGAGGGGAAUGUAAGAAUAUGAAAUAGUUAACGUGUUCAUAUGUAUUUUAUGCUUUUAUAAGGUUUAUAAAUAUUAUUGCUGACUGAAAGGAUAUGAAAUAGUUAAACUCAAUGUACGACAUAAUAUGCUGACUGUGACAGACUAAGGUAUUUCUUCUAUAGGAUGUAAGACAAUGCUAAAUUUCAGGAUGUCUUGCCCAUUCCGAUUUCAGGAUACUUUUCCCCAGACGUAUGCAAAAGCUUAUCUUUCCAUUGU